rnacentral:rRNA from 1 species
AGAGUUUGAUCCUGGCUCAGAACGAACGCUGGCGGCGUGGAUAAGACAUGCAAGUCGAACGCUAAUUUGAGUGUAGCAAUACAUUCAGGUUGGAGUGGCGCAAGGGUGCGUAACACGUGGGUAAUUUGCCGUGAAGUUGGGGAUAACUCGCUGAAAGGCGAGCUAAUACCGAAUACGAUCAUUGGGAGGCAUCUUUUGAUGAUCAAAGUUGGGGACCGUAAGGCCUGACGCUACACGAUAAGCCCGCGGCCUAUCAGCUAGUUGGUGAGGUAACGGCUCACCAAGGCUAAGACGGGUAGCUGGUCUGAGAGGACGACCAGUCACACUGGAACUGAGACACGGUCCAGACACCUACGGGUGGCAGCAGUCGAGAAUUUUUCUCAAUGGGCGAAAGCCUGAAGGAGCGACGCCGCGUGGGGGAUGAAGGGCUUCGGCUCGUAAACCCCUGUCAUUUG